GACAGAGGCCUCGAGCGUUAGGCGGAAUCACUGGGCUUAAAGCGUGUGUAGGCGGGCCCGUAAGUGUCUUGUGAAAUCCCACGGCUCAACCGUGGAACUGCUGGGCAUACUGCGGGUCUUGGGCCAACUGGGGGCAGCCGGAACAAGCGGUGGAGCGGUGAAAUGCGUAGAUAUCGCUUGGAACGCCGAAGGUGAAAACAGGCUGCUGGGGUUGCGCCGACGCUGAGACACGAAAGCCAGGGGAGCAAACGGG
rnacentral:rRNA from 1 species